GGUUACUGACUGGGAAAGAAGGAUUCCACUAGCACUGCUUGGCUAUCAAAGCUGGGCAAUGUGAUCCUCUAAGCCACAUGUUUAGCCCCUUGACUGGGCAAACUUCAAACAAGUGACUGAGCUCCCUUAGCUGCCACUGAUUGGACCAGGAUGGACAACAAAUGUAGGAGGAGUUCAUCUGGAUCUAGCCUGAGCCAGUCAGAUAUCCCCUUUGAAUCCAUGCCUAUAGAAAUACAAAAAAAUGGAAGCCAGAGGAUGAUGGAUCCUUGAAGUAAUAAGUCAGGUAGAUCUUGAAAAUUUUUGACUCAAUCCAUAUUGAUGAACACAAGAAUAAUUCUGGUCUACAAAGAGAGGCAAGAGAAAGACUUGGGGUGUAUUAAGAAAAACAGCUCUGUGGAAGUUUGAGUGACUCAUUGCAGAGAGGAAUUGAUGAAGUCAACAGCUGCUGGAAAAACUUCUUUUUCCUUA
rnacentral:lncRNA from 1 species